rnacentral:rRNA from 1 species
CAAUUCUGGUUGAUCCUGCCAGAGACCGCUGCUAUCCGGCUGGGACUAAGCCAUGCGAGUCAAGGGGCUUGCCGCAAGGCAAGCACCGGCGGACGGCUCAGUAACACGUGGACAACCUGCCCUCGGGAGGGGGAUAACCCCGGGAAACUGGGGCUAAACCCCCAUAGGAGAUGGAUACUGGAAGGUUCCAUCUCCGAAAGUCCGCAAGGAGCCCGAGGAUGGGUCUGCGGCGGAUUAGGUAGUUGGUGGGGUAACGGCCCACCAAGCCGAAGAUCCGUACGGGCCAUGGGAGUGGGAGCCCGGAGAUGGACCCUGAGAC